AGAACGAACGCUGGCGGCAUGCCUAACACAUGCAAGUCGAACGAGACCUUCGGGUCUAGUGGCGCACGGGUGCGUAACGCGUGGGAACCUGCCCUUAGGUUCGGAAUAACUCAGAGAAAUUUGAGCUAAUACCGGAUAAUGUCUUCGGACCAAAGAUUUAUCGCCUAUGGAUGGGCCCGCGUAGGAUUAGCUAGUUGGUGGGGUAAAGCCUACCAAGGCGACGAUCCUUAGCUGGUCUGAGAGGAUGAUCAGCCACACUGGGACUGAGACACGGCCCAGACUCCUACGGAGGCAGCAGUGGGGAAUAUUGGACAAUGGGCGAAAGCCUGAUCCAGCAAUGCCGCGUGAGUGAUGAAGGCCUUAGGGUUGUAAAGCUCUUUUACCCGGGAUGAUAAUGACAGUACCGGAGAAUAAGCUCCGGCUAACUCCGCGCCAGCAGCCGC
rnacentral:rRNA from 1 species